rnacentral:rRNA from 1 species
GGUCAAGUUAAUAAGAGCAUAGGGCGGAUGCCUUGGCACUAGGAGCCGAAGAAGGACGUGGUAAGCUGCGAAAAGCUACGGGGAGCUGCAAGCAAGUGUAGAUCCGUAGAUGUCCGAAUGGGGAAACCCGGCUGGAGUAAUGUCCAGUCAUCCAUAGCUGAAUACAUAGGCUAUGGAGGGGAACUCGGGGAACUGAAACAUCUAAGUACCCGAAGGAAGAGAAAACAAAAGUGAUUUCCAGAGUAGUGGCGAGCGAAAUGGAAAUAGCCCAAACCUGAGUCUUCGGACGA